rnacentral:tRNA from 1 species
GGGUAUAGCUCAGUGGUAGAGCAUUUGCUUUGCACACACGAGGUCCUGGGUUCAAUCCCCAGUGCCUCCA